ACGCCGACGGCGCAAAGCGUAGCAUUGCUGCCCGGAAAGCGGAAGGCGCGGGUUCAAGUCCCGCUCGGCGCA
rnacentral:tRNA from 1 species